rnacentral:rRNA from 1 species
UACGUAGGGUGCAAGCGUUAAUCGGAAUUACUGGGCGUAAAGCGUGCGCAGGCGGUUAUGUAAGACAGGUGUGAAAUCCCCGGGCUUAACCUGGGAACUGCAUUUUGUGACUGCAUAGCUAGAGUACGGUAGAGGGGGGAUGGAAUUCCGCGUGUAGCAGUGAAAUGCGUAGAUAUGCGGAGGAACACCGAUGGCGAAGGCAAUCCCCUGGACCUGUACUGACGCUCAUGCACGAAAGCGUGGGGAGCAAACGAGG